GAUGAACGCUGGCGGCAUGCCUAAUACAUGCAAGUCGAGCGAACGGACGAGAAGCUUGCUUCUCUGAUGUUAGCGGCGGACGGGUGAGAACACGUGGAUAACCUACCUAUAAGACUGGGAUAACUUCGGGAAACCGGAGCUAAUACCGGAUAAUAUUUUGAACCGCAUGGUUCAAAAGUGAAAGACGGUCUUGCUGUCACUUAUAGAUGGAUCCGCGCUGCAUUAGCUAGUUGGUAAGGUAACGGCUUACCAAGGCAACGAUGCAUAGCCGACCUGAGAGGGUGAUCGGCCACACUGGAACUGAGACACGGUCCAGACUCCUACGGGAGGCAGCAGUAGGGAAUCUUCCGCAAUGGGCGAAAGCCUGACGGAGCAACGCCGCGUGAGUGAUGAAGGUCUACGGAUCGUAAAACUCUGUUAUUAGGGAAGAACAUAUGUGUAAGUAACUGUGCACAUCUUGACGGUACCUAAUCAGAAAGCCACGGCUAACUACGUG
rnacentral:rRNA from 1 species